AGUGAACGCUGGCGGUAGGCCUAACACAUGCAAGUCGAACGGCAGCACAGUAGGAGCUUGCUAUUACGGGUGGCGAGUGGCGGACGGGUGAGGAAUACAUCGGAAUUUACUUUUUCGUGGGGGAUAACGUAGGGAAACUUACGCUAAUACUGCAUACGACCUACGGGUGAAAGCAGGGGACCUUCGCAUCUUGCGUGACCUUAUGUGCCGAUGUCGGAUUAGCUAGUUGGCGGGGUAAAGGCCCACCAAGGCGACGAUCCGUAGCUGGUCUGAGAGGAUGAUCAGCCACACUGGAACUGAGACACGGUCCAGACUCCUACGGGAGGCAGCAGUGGGGAAUAUUGGACAAUGGGCGGAAGCCUGAUCCAGCCAUACCGCGUGGGUGAAGAAGGCCUUCGGGUUGUAAAGCCCUUUUGUUGGGAAAGAAAAGCAGCAGGUUAAUACCCCGCUGUUCUGACGGUACCCAAAGAAUAAGCACCGGCUAACUUCGUG
rnacentral:rRNA from 1 species